rnacentral:rRNA from 1 species
AGAGUUUGAUCAUGGCUCAGAUUGAACGCUGGCGGCAGGCCUAACACAUGCAAGUCGAACGGUAACAGGAAGCAGCUUGCUGCUUUGCUGACGAGUGGCGGACGGGUGAGUAAUGUCUGGGAAACUGCCUGAUGGAGGGGGAUAACUACUGGAAACGGUAGCUAAUACCGCAUAACGUCGCAAGACCAAAGAGGGGGACCUUCGGGCCUCUUGCCAUCGGAUGUGCCCAGAUGGGAUUAGCUAGUAGGUGGGGUAAAGGCUCACCUAGGCGACGAUCCCUAGCUGGUCUGAGAGGAUGACCAGCCACACUGGAACUGAGACACGGUCCAGACUCCUACGGGAGGCAGCAGUGGGGAAUAUUGCACAAUGGGCGCAAGCCUGAUGCAGCCAUGCCGCGUGUAUGAAGAAGGCCUUCGGGUUGUAAAGUACUUUCAGCGGGGAGGAAGGGAGUAAAGUUAAUACCUUUGCUCAUUGACGUUACCCGCAGAAGAAGCACCGGCUAACUCCGUGCCAGCAGCCGCGGUAAUACGGAGGGUGCAAGCGUUAAUCGGAAUUACUGGGCGUAAAGCGCACGCAGGCGGUUUGUUAAGUCAGAUGUGAAAUCCCCGGGCUCAACCUGGGAACUGCAUCUGAUACUGGCAAGCUUGAGUCUCGUAGAGGGGGGUAGAAUUCCAGGUGUAGCGGUGAAAUGCGUAGAGAUCUGGAGGAAUACCGGUGGCGAAGGCGGCCCCCUGGACGAAGACUGACGCUCAGGUGCGAAAGCGUGGGGAACAAACAGGAUUAGAUACCCUGGUAGUCCA